CUGAAGUUAUGUGGUUGAGUUGGAUUAAUUUUUCUGUUUUUGUCUAUUGUUGGAUAUUUUAAUAUUCAACUUUAAAUUAUGAGAUUGUAAUGUUUUCUUUGUUAUUUAACCUGUGCUAGAAUGCUUUCAUUUUCUGAUAUUUGUAGGGAAAUCAAUGUGCUGUUCCCAACCUGAAUAAUAUGAAAAAUCCUGCCAACUUACACUUUGUUUUGAUAUCCAGUAAGAAUGAUUUCACAUCACUAAUUCCAAUAAUGGAAUUGAGUUUCACAUCCGUAAUUGUUUAUCCAAAAUAGCCAAAACUAACUUACAUCUAGUCCGCUCUAAUUAGUGCCCUAAAGGAGAAGGGUUGAGUUACUAGAGAAGUUGGCUGUAUUUAAUUAGAUUAGAAUUCAGGAACUAAUACUAUAAAUAAGAAAUAGAAGUAUUGUGUAGAGAUUAAAUUGGCUUUGCUCAUUAAGAGUGGCUUCGCCCAUUGAUGAGGGCUCAUGUCCAUUACAGUCCUAUGGAGCUAAAGAGGUUUUGGCUUAAACUAGAGGACAUAGAAUUUAAGAGUAAGGAAUUAUUGUUCAACUCUUGCCCAUUAUAAGGUAAUUAAAUUGGUUUAUGUCUAGAGGAAAAUGAGAGGACUAAUGAAUAUAUUUACCGAGGAUUGUCUUGAGUGUAAUUGGAUUAAAUGGUAAUAUAAUUUUUAGCUUCUAAUUGAUUAUAUUUUAUUAAUAGUGGAAAAUGACAAGCCUGUUAACUAACAUAUGUAGAGAGGCUGAACUUGGCUGCUACUAUUAACAUUGGCUUUAAAAUUUUGGGCUGCUGCAGCAUGGGGGCUUUCUCCAUAAUUUAUUUCCUUUAUAGAUUUUUCUGAGAACCAUGUAUUUAUGUUGUUCUUGUGAUGCUCUCCAUGUCUCUUUCCUGGUUAUUUAUCACCAUCAGCAUCACGUAUUCUAACAAAUCUCUGAAUUCUUAGUGGGACUA
rnacentral:misc_RNA from 1 species